rnacentral:rRNA from 1 species
AUUGAACGCUGGCGGCAGGCCUAACACAUGCAAGUCGAACGAGUGGCGGACGGGUGAGUAAUGUCUGGGAAACUGCCCGAUGGAGGGGGAUAACUACUGGAAACGGUAGCUACUACCGCAUACCCUCGGAUGAGCCCCGAUGGGAUUAGCUAGUAUGUGGGGUAACGGCUCACCUAGGCGACGAGCCUUAGCUGGUCUGAGAGGAUGACCAGCCACACUGGAACUUAGACACGGUCCAGACUCCUACGGGAGGCAGCAGUGGGGAAUAUUGCACAAUGGGCGCAAGCCUGAUGCAGCCAUGCCGCGUGUAUGAAGAAGGCCGUCGGGUUGUAAAGUACUUUCAGCGAGGAGGCGUUACUCGCAGAAGAAGCACCGGCUAACUCCGUGCCAGCAGCCGCGGUAAUAC